CUGCCCAGCACCUCCAGAAGUGGGCAAAGCAAUCCCAGAAGUAGGAGUCUUGAAGCAGGCUGAUAUUGAAACACCAAUAAGGCACCUGCAUUCAGGCUCUCCUG